UGGAAAGUUGACUGAAUAACAUACACAUUCGGAUAUAUCUUGCAAAGAUCAUGCUGACCAAGCUUUGUGCGAAUAUGUUGGACAAUCAAGUCAAUAGCAACAUGGUUAUCACCUCCUCUAGGUAUGAUAACAUCAGCAUACUUCUUCGAAGGAAGGACAAAAUCAUCAAAAGCAGGCUUGACAAACUUCGCAUACUGUUCAAGUACUGAGUUUAUGUCUCUACCUCUCUCCACUGUGUCACGUCUUAUUCUACGAGCAAGCCUCACGUCAGCAUCUGUAUCAACAAAGAUCUUCAUACUCAUCAGAUUGCGAACACGUGCAUCAUGAAAGACAAGAAUACCCUCCAAGAUGAUAACAUCAGAUGCAUUUACCUGGCGGAAGCUAUCUGAACAUCUCUGAUGGGUUUUAAAGUCAUAAAUUGGAACUUGGACCGACAUCCCAGAUUUUAACUUUUCAACACACUCUAAGAGCUGCUCAGUGUCAAAGGCAUCUGGGUGAUCAAAGUUAUAUUCAUGGACAUGUUUCAUUUCUUCGAGCGUCAAACCGCGGUAGAAUGAGUCCUGAUUAAUCAGCACGACACGAUGAUCAUGAAGUUGUUGGAUGAUCAUGUCACACACAGUAGUCUUACCCGACG
rnacentral:misc_RNA from 1 species